rnacentral:piRNA from 1 species
UUGAACGAGUGCAUGAUAGCAUGGCCAG